rnacentral:rRNA from 1 species
UGACGGGUAGCCGAACUGAGAGGUUGAUCGGCCACAUCGGGACUGAGACACUGCCCGGACUCCUACGGGAGGCUGCAGUCGAGAAUCUUCCGCAACGGACGAAAGUCUGACGGAGCGACGCCGCGUGAAGGAUGAAGGCCCUCGGGUCGUAAACUUCUGUCACUCGUGAAGAAUGUCUGCAGCAAAACUGUCGACUGACGUUAGCGAGAGAGGAAGCCACGGCUAACUUCGUGCCAGCAGCCGCGGUAAGACGAAGGUGGCAACCGUUGCUCGGAUUCACUGGGCAUAAAGAGCGCGUAGGUGGCUAGGCAGGUCGACGGUGAAAUCCCACGGCUCAACCGUGGAACUGCCGCCGAAACCGCCUGGCUUGAGGACGGGAGGAGAGAGUGGAACUCUUGGUGUAGCGGUGAAAUGCGUAGAUAUCAAGAGGAACGCCGGUGGCGAAAGCGACUCUCUGGACCGUUCCUGACACUGAGGCGCGAAAGCUAGGGGAGCAAACAGGAUUAGAUACCCUGGUAGUCCUAGCUGUAAACGAUGGGCACUGGGUAGGGGUGGACUGAUGCCUUCCCUGCCGGAGCUAAUGUGUUAAGUGCCCCGCCUGGGGAGUAUGGUCGCAAGGCUAAAACUCAAAGGAAUUGACGGGGGCUCACACAAGCGGUGGGGGAUGUGGUUUAAUUCGAACCAACGCGCAGAACCUUACCCGGGUUUGAAAUGCAGGGAUUAGGCUCCCGAAAAGGAGCUGACACCGUAAGGUGGAACCUGUACAGGUGUUGCAUGGCUGUCGUCAGCUCGUGUCGUGAGAUGUCGGGUUAAGUCCCUUAACGAGCGAAACCCUUGUCUUUAGUUGCCAGCGGAUAAUGCCGGGGACUCUAUAGAGACUGCCGUUGUUAAAACGGAGGAAGGUGGGGAUGACGUCAAGUCAUCAUGGCCUUUAUGUCCGGGGCUACACACGUCCCACAAUGUCGGUACAAAGGGAAGCGAAACCGCGAGGUGAAGCAAAUCCCAGAAAGCCGGUCUCAGUUCGGAUCGGGGGCUGCAAUUCGCCCCCGUGAAGUCGGAAUCGCUAGUAAUCGCGGAUCAGCUACGCCGCGGUGAAUAUGUUCCUGAGCCUUGUACACACCGCCCGUCAAGCCACGAAAGUCGACAGUACCUGAAGUCGUGCACCCAACCUUUUGGAGGGAAGCGCCCACGGUAAGGUCGAUGAUUGGGACUAAGUCGUAACAAGGUA